rnacentral:ncRNA from 2 species
ACGGGCCGCAUAGCGCCGGGACCGGAGACGGUUGACGAGGCUGGCAGUGAUCGAAGGAUUCGGCGGAUGCUGCCACGGAGUAGUGAAUCGAAAGAGGGAAUGGAAAAAGCGGAAUCAAAACCGUAACAGAGCUUCUCUCACUCACCAGG